ensembl:lncRNA
AAAGGAAAUUGCAAUCAAAAUCCAAUAAUUAGAAGAAUGGAUCUCAGCAGCCAGUCUUUCAAUUUGCCUCCAGGGGCCUGCAAUUCAUCUGAGAAAUCAGCAAUGUUGCUGCCAGCAGCACCACCACCAGCAUACCAGGACAAUCCUGCUGGAUAUCCUCACUCCUUUCCAAGCCAGCCAAUCCCCUAGGGCCCCUACACCCAGGGGUCGUAUCCAGGACAAACUGUGGUCGCUGUACAGCCUGCAGUUUUUGUGACUGCUGCUCCACUGGCCAGUCCAGUGCCAGAUUACUUGGGUUACUCCAUCUUUACCAUGCUGUGCUGCUGUUUACCUCUGGGAAUUGCUGCGCUGAUUUACUCCUGCUCUACUCGAGAUGCCAACUACUCAGGACAUCGAGAACUAGCAGAGAGGAGCUCCAAAACGACACUUAUCCUGAAUCAUGUCAGCCUUGAAGCCAUUUCUUCUUUUGCAAACAUGUUCAUGCAGGUUCAAAGUAGAUAAAAACACACCGUUCAAAUGCUUGGGGUCAGUAAGAUUUUUUCAUGAAACAUUCAUUAAAAUCAUUUCUUAUUAUUAUCAAAGUUAAAAACAGUUGUGUUGCUUAAUGUUUUUGUGGACACUUUCUUUUAGGAUUCUGUGAAAAAUAGAAGGUUCAAAACAACAGCAAUCUUUUGACCAUUUUAAUGCUUCAAAUGUCAAAACUGUCAAUUUUCCUAUUGCUUUGAUGCAUUUUUGCUGAAUAAUAUUUUUAGGGAAUUUUCCUUGAUUUAAAGAUUUUUAUUUUUUUUUAAUUACUCCAUGAUUUACUCAUCAUAUCCUAGGUGUAUAUGACUUUUUUCUUUAAGACGAAUAUGAUCAGAGUUGUAUUAAAAAAUGUCCUGGCUCUCCCAUGCUUAAUAAUGGCAGUAAAUUGGCGUUGAGAUUUUGAAAAAGUGCCUCGAUCCAUCAUAAAAAUUGCUCCUCACAGCUCCGGGGGGUUAAUAAAGGCCUUCUGAAGCGAUUGUGUUUGUGUAUA